ACUGUGCUGGGAAGGGUACGGUUGCCUCUAUAUAGUUCGAGGGCACUGAGUGAAGUUGUAGUUGGUAGCUAGGGGUUAAAAAGGUCUGGAAAGCCACAUGAGCCCUGUGAUUGGUAGCCAGGCCCAGACAGAGACCAGAAUCAAAUUCAAAAGGGGGUUACCCUCCUCCGCAAAAGAGCGGGGGAGGUGUCAAUAGCUCAGGUUGUUUUAGAGCUACUUUCUGUUUUGGUGGUUCAGACAGUUAGAAGCUGAAGAGAGAGCAGCCAGAAAAGUCUGGGGUCACACUCUUUCCCCCAAGUCCUCAAUUGGAGGCCUGGAUUGACAAAGCUGAAGGAAAAGCUACAGAAAAAGAAAACCUUUAAGGAAGACCAUCUGAGGAAAAAACAGUGCUGAAAACUUGUGUGACAAAUUUCAACUCUAUCAUCCUCUGUCCAACAAGUGAAAACCAAGCAACUGAUUAAGUCUGAAGACAAUUACUUCCUCUAACAUCACACAUCUUAACUGCAUCAGUGAUUCUGAAAAUUGAGCAGGGAGCUAAGUGAACCUUCCUUACCCUUGUUGAUGGGCUGGAUCAAAUAUGGCAGGCUGAAACAAUUUCUGGUGUCAUUAGUCCAUUGCGUUUUUCUCUGGACUGGAAGAAGGAAGGAUCUGCACUGGAUUAUUCCCAUAUCACACCCUUCCUGCCCUACAUGUUCCUCUGGCUCCCUAUCAAUGAGGUUCAGAACUUCAAAACGGUUCCUGAUGUUCUCCUUCAAAAUGGUACUUAAUCAGCUCAAGACGGGGCAGAAAAUUGAUGUCAAAGCUUGAUAGCCUGAAAAGGAAAUAAAACCAAAUCCAGUCCUGGUUUUGAAAAUAUCAAGAGAAAAGAAUGUAAACAACAACAGCAACAAAUAUACACCCCAAGAGAAAAGAAUGCCAAUUAUGUCAUUUUGAGGGAAACCAGCGUUCCCCCAUUCCAGAUUCAAAGUAUAAACCCUUGGCAUUUCUUCCUGUGAUGAAACAAGAAGAUUAUGGUUCUGUUAAGCACAUUGUUUUGGGAUGAUAUCGAACAAGGUUUGAAAAACUAGCCGAGAAGCCAGGAUUAUAUAUUCAGUUAGCUGAAGAAUUUUGAAUACUUAAUAUCAAAGCAGUUAGACAGGUGAGUGAGAUGCGUUCACAGAUUAUAGCAUAAGGUGCUACAUGGAAUAUUUUCCUGAAGAGCCACACAAGGGAAAGGAGCAAAGGCUUAGCUCUGUACGGCUUAUCCAGCUCAAUAUCCCUCAUCUAGCCUGACAGUGUGGUUUUUAACAAAACCAUUAGUCAUUUGACUGAAGGCAGUUUGAGCACAAUUGAUUCUUUCUGAUCCAUCCCAAGGAAUUAAUUUCAGAAACUGCAGGGUAGUUUCCUGUAACACAAAAUGGUUCCUUUUGUGCUGCAUGAGGCCCAGACCCCACACAGUCCACUUUUUCCGCACAUGCAGCAAGAGUCCUUCAGGCUUAGCUGUCCAAAUGUUUGAUGUUGUAAGGAAAUAAUUUAUUGAAAGGCUUGAGCACUGCCUUCCUCAUUAAUGGAGCCUGGUUUCUAAAACACAGGAAAAGGCCAGCAUUGUGAGCAGGGGGGCGGAACUCAUGACAUCAGUCAUAUAUUAUUCAUAAUAUUAUUAAUGCAGAUUGCAAAUGUCCUUGCCUUGCUUUUCUUUUAUUUUGUUUUCUGAGAUUCAAAGUGUCCAUAUAAUAAUGAAUGCUUUUAAAGGGUU